rnacentral:rRNA from 1 species
AUGGAUCCCAAGGCGGCGGCGAGGUCGAAGCGCUCGCACACGGUGCACGGCCGCCGGACCCACCAGACCCCCGCGGCGGCCGCGGCGCACAAGCAGAAGCGCGCCGCCGCCGCCGGCGGCGGCGGCGGCGGCGGCGGCGGCUCCUCCUCCGCCGCCCCUCGCAGCCGCAACCUCCCCUCCAACUGGGACCGCUACGAGGACGAACCCGAGGCCGACGACGCCGCGGAAUGGGCCGGCGAGGUGGCGCCGCGGAGCAAGGGCGCCGACUUCGCCUUCCUGCUCGAGCAGGCCCGGGCCCAGCCCCUCGAGGAGCGGGGCCUCGGCGCGGCCGGCCGCCUCGCCUCCCAGGACUCGGCAUUUGAUUUUAUGCAGGCUUCUACAUCUAUGCUUGAGGCUAAAGGGGAAGGAAUCAUGUCCUGGUUUGAUGACGAUAAUUUCAUAUUAGAGGAUGAUUUAGCACCAGAUUUUGAGGUGCCUUUUCUCUCCAUGGAUCUCCAUGCAUUGGCCACCAAGCUCUCAAAGAUUAAGUUGUCCCAGAGACUUUUUAUGGAAGAAGAUCUACUACCCGAGGAUCUGGCUGUUGCUUCUGAAGACGAAGAUGACGAAAUACUGAUUCAAUUGGGCACAACAUUGGAGUCUGAUGCUAAAGGCAGUUUGGUUCAACAUAACUUCAGGGACAUAAACCCUGGGAAAGAUGCUGUUAGUCCUGACCAUGCCAGCAACAUUCAUUCUGAUGGCCCAUUGAAAACACAUCAUCAGUCAGAAUGCUUUGCAGAAGAAGCAACUACAACAUCAUUCAAAGCUAUUCCUCGACCUAUGCAUUCAGACGCUGAAGCCUACACAGGAAUCACAGGUACUGUUCCAAAUGCAGGGCAUAGAGAACAGUCGAAGCUUGGGAUGGUUGCUCCAGAGGAAGGGCUCGAUAUGCUUCUUAAUUCACUCGAUGGAACUCACCUUUCCAGCUCCAACUUAGACGAGUCGUUUGGAAGUAGUUCUACUUUGGUAGGUAUGAAGAUCAACGAGUCAAAUGAGAAAGUCAUGUCUAGCAGCACCACGUCCAAAUUGCCGGCACUUUCUCCUGUUGAUGAUGAUCUAGAUGCCUUGCUUUCAGAGACAUCCUUAUCUGUCCAGAAUGAUGGUUCUGCUGCAUCAAGUUUAUCUUCUCGCCCAACUUUUGACUCCAAAAGCAACGUUGACUUCAGAUAUGCCAAGCAGAUUGAUGUAACAUCUAUCGAUGAUUCAGUCGAUGAUUUGCUUGCCGACACUCCUUUCUGCCUGAGUGAUCAGAAAGAAACAACACCUGUGCAGGAGCAACAGCACAUCUCCAAUGCCAACGCGCCUCCACCUUCUGGUUCCUCAAAUGUAUCAGCUGACUUUGAUUCGUGGUUUGACUCACUAUAG